UCUUAAACCCGACAGCAGCGAAAAUACUUUUUCUCAAAAACAUUAGGUUUCAGAAACCUAAUGUUUUGAAAAAGAUUGAAGCGAAUGGCGGGACUGAAA
rnacentral:sRNA from 1 species